rnacentral:rRNA from 1 species
GUGGGGAAUAUUGGACAAUGGGCGCAAGCCUGAUCCAGCCAUGCCGCGUGAGUGAUGAAGGCCCUAGGGUUGUAAAGCUCUUUCAGUGGGGACGAUAAUGACGGUACCCACAGAAGAAGCCCCGGCUAACUUCGUGCCAGCAGCCGCGGUAAUACGAAGGGGGCUAGCGUUGUUCGGAUUUACUGGGCGUAAAGCGCACGUAGGCGGAUCGUUAAGUCGAGGGUGAAAUCCUGGAGCUCAACUCCAGAACUGCCUUCGAUACUGGCGAUCUUGAGUCCGGAAGAGGUGAGUGGAACUCCUAGUGUAGAGGUGGAAUUCGUAGAUAUUAGGAAGAACACCAGUGGCGAAGGCGGCUCACUGGUCCGGUACUGACGCUGAGGUGCGAAAGCGUGGGGAGCAAACAGGAUUAGAAACCCGAGUAGUCC